CAGAAGAAAAGCCAUCUUCAGUGGUUUUCCUACAAGUGCAUUAACAAAGUUCAUCUCAGACUAAAGAAAACUGGAAAACUGUGGACUGUGACUUCCUAAAGCACCCAGCACAAUGCCUGGCUUAGCUCAGGAACUUUGAAGCUAUGUGUUGAAUAAAUGUGAAAUAAAUAGUGAAAGAAGUUAUUUCAAA